rnacentral:rRNA from 2 species
UUGAAAUACCACCCUUUAAUGUUUGAUGUUCUAACGUGGAUCCGUAAUCCGGGUUGCGGACAGUGUCUGGUGGGUAGUUUGACUGGGGCGGUCUCCUCCUAAAGAGUAACGGAGGAGCACGAAGGUUGGCUAAUCCUGGUCGGACAUCAGGAGGUUAGUGCAAUGGCAUAAGCCAGCUUGACUGCGAGCGUGACGGCGCGAGCAGGUGCGAAAGCAGGUCAUAGUGAUCCGGUGGUUCUGAAUGGAAGGGCCAUCGCUCAACGGAUAAAAGGUACUCCGGGGAUAACAGGCUGAUACCGCCCAAGAGUUCAUAUCGACGGCGGUGUUUGGCACCUCGAUGUCGGCUCAUCACAUCCUGGGGCUGAAGUAGGUCCCAAGGGUAUGGCUGUUCGCCAUUUAAAGUGGUACGCGAGCUGGGUUUAGAACGUCGUGAGACAGUUCGGUCCCUAUCUGCCGUGGGCGCUGGAGAACUGAGGGGGGCUGCUCCUAGUACGAGAGGACCGGAGUGGACGCAUCACUGGUGUUCGGGUUGUCAUGCCAAUGGCACUGCCCGGUAGCUAAAUGCGGAAGAGAUAAGUGCUGAAAGCAUCUAAGCACGAAACUUGCCCCGA